UAAUCCUAUUCAGUUUUA
rnacentral:piRNA from 1 species